AAACCAAAACAGGUGCCCACUAGGGUGGGGAACUAACAUUUUGGUCCACCGGUGCACCAGGGGGAUAUUUUAGACUUUUCCCCUUCCUUUCCUUCUCCCUUCCACUCUACCCUGAGUACUCUCCCUCACUGCCUCCCAGAACACCACCUACUGUCAGAAAGAGGCACGGCGGCUCCGGUCACCGGAGCUCCGAGUUACUGCCACCAACUCGAUCACAGGAGCUCCAAGCCGACGGUUAUGGGAAAACACCAUAGCCAGUCCUUUCUCCUACGCUUCUUCCUCUUCUCCCUCACGUCCCAGAAAAUCAAAGUCAAUGUUGCGAUUGAGAUGAAGAGGGUCUGGGUUUCUGAUUUUCAGAGGGGUUAGAUUUCUGAAAUUGCGAAGAAGAAACAGAUUUGAGAACAUCAAAACUGAUUCUCACUCAGAUCUAGGGUUUCUCUACCACCAAGCAAGGGAUACUAUGAAGAUUGUGUUUCAGAUCUGGGUUUUAUGGUGUCGGAGAUGUCAUCGGAGAUGGAGAUGCGGCGGCGGACAUGCAUCCCAACUGUUGGUUGCAAGGGUUUGCAGAUCUGGAAUUUUUCCAUUGAUGUUCAUGAAUGCAGACUUCUGGGUUUCUAACUCAUGGGUCUUACAAAUAUGUUAAAAUCUUGCCAAAUUCAAUGAUGGGUGGGGUAGGAUGCAUAUGCAUCAUGCAAUUGAAUAAGGAAACAGUGGCAUCAUCAGCGUCGUGAAUGGAUAAAGAGACAGCAUACCUUGUUCGAUGAAACAACAAUCGGAGAUUUAACGGAUUUUUUAGGUGGCGAUGGAAGCUUGCUGGAGAACUUUUUGUUACAUUGGAUUCCAACAUGAACUAGGAAGAAGGUGAAGAUGCUUCUGAAUGAACGAGUAGUGAAGAACAUGAAGAAAGAAGAGGGGUUUCAAUUUCCAUUUUUACCCUUUUAAUUAUCAUCGAAUCCUAACCGUUCAGUUAAAGAAUAUUCUAAGAUUCUUAGAUCUAAUGGUGUUUGACCCCU